rnacentral:rRNA from 1 species
UACAGAGGGUGCGAGCGUUGUUCGGAAUUAUUGGGCGUAAAGGGCGCGUAGGCGGCGCCACAAGUCACUUGUGAAAACUCUGGGCUCAACUCAGAGCCUGCAAGCGAAACUGUGGUGCUGGAGUAUGGGAGAGGUGCGUGGAAUUCCCGGUGUAGCGGUGAAAUGCGUAGAUAUCAGGAGGAACACCGGUGGCGAAGGCGGGAUCCUGGGCCAGUACUGACGCUGAGGAGCGAAAGCGUGGGGAGCAAACAGG